rnacentral:rRNA from 1 species
CCUACGGGUGGCAGCAGUGGGGAAUAUUGGGCAAUGGGCGCAAGCCUGACCCAGCAAUGCCGCGUGAAGGAAGAAGGCUCUCCGGUUGUAAACUCCUUUGUCCGGGGAAGAGCAGAAGACGGUACCCUGAAACCCAGCCACGGCCCACUACGUGCCAGCAGCCGCGGUCAUACGUAGGGGGCAAGCGUUGUCCGGAUUUACUGGGUGUAAAGGGCGUUUUGCCGGGGAGGCAAGUCAUAUGUGAAAUCUGGAGGCUCAACCUCCAAAUUGCAGUUGAAACUGUUGUUCUUGAGUACGGGAGAGGCAGACGGAAUUCCUGGUGUAGCGGUGAAAUGCAUAGAUAUAACGCGGAACACCGGUGGCGAAGGCAGUCUGCUGGAGAGCGACUGACGGUGAGGCGCGAAAGCGUGGGGAGCAAACAGGAUUAGAUACCCUUGUAGUC